CAGUGGGGAAUCUUGCGCAAUGGGCGAAAGCCUGACGCAGCAACGCCGCGUGCGGGAUGAAUGCCUUCGGGUUGUAAACCGCUUUCAGCAGGGACGAAAAUGACGGUACCUGCAGAAGAAGCCCCGGCUAACUACGUGCCAGCAGCCGCGGUAAUACGUAGGGGGCAAGCGUUGUCCGGAUUUAUUGGGCGUAAAGAGCUCGUAGGCGGUUCCGUAAGUCGAGUGUGAAAAAUCUGGGCUCAACCCAGUGGAGCACUCGAUACUGCGGUGACUAGAGUACGGUAGAGGAGUGUGGAAUUCCUGGUGUAGCGGUGAAAUGCGCAGAUAUCAGGAGGAACACCAACGGCGAAGGCAGCACUCUGGGCCGGUACUGACGCUGAGGAGCGAAAGCGUGGGGAGCAAACAGGAUUAGA
rnacentral:rRNA from 1 species